rnacentral:rRNA from 1 species
UACGUAGGGGGCAAGCGUUGUCCGGAAUCAUUGGGCGUAAAGCGCGCGUAGGCGGCCCGGUAAGUCCGUUGUGAAAGUCAAAGGCUCAACCUUUGAACGCCGAUGGAUACUGCCGGGCUAGAGUCCGGAAGAGGCGAGUGGAAUUCCUGGUGUAGCGGUGGAAUGCGCAGAUAUCAGGAGGAACACCAAUAGCGAAGGCAGCUCGCUGGGACGGUACUGACGCUGAGGCGCGAAAGCGCGGGGAGCGAACGGG